ACCGGAUCCCAUCAGAACUCCGCAGUAAGCGUGCUUGGGCGAGAGUAGUACUAGGAUGGGUGACCUCCUGGGAAGUCCUCGUGUUGCACCCC
rnacentral:rRNA from 1 species